UGCCACAUCUGUAUCUCCCAUGGACAUGGU
rnacentral:piRNA from 1 species